AUGAAAUUAAACCCAACGAAAACAUCGAAAGUGAACGGCGGGGGUCCCGGCCCCAAAACGACCCCGCUGUGUCCAUCCGCACCCACCGAUGUCCGUCCGGUAGCGGUGAAAGGCAGAGAAUGGGCCGAGCGGAUCCCGAAAUACAUUCGUUACAUCCGGCGGGGUUUGGAGGCAGAAAGUGUGGUGUGGGGGGGUGGGGGGCUGGGGGGCUCUGCCCGAGCGUGUGCCCGUGGGGCUGUGGGGGGGCUGUGGGGGGCUGUGGGGGGAGGUGCUGCCCGGCCCUGCCGGCCCCAUCGAGAGCUGCCCUGCCCUGCUGGCACUGCGUGCACUGCAGUGCUGUGCUGUGCUGCAUCGCCCCAUUGCAUCGCCCCACCGCCCUGCAGCAUCGCCCCAUUGCUCUGCUGCAUCGCCCCAUUGCAUCGCCCCACUGCCCUGCAGCAUCGCCCCAUUGCAUCGCCCCUUUGCUCUGCUGCAACCCCCCAUUGCAUCGCCCCACUGCCCUGCAGCAUCGCCCCAUUGCAUCGCCCCAUUGCUCUGCUGCAGUCCCCCAUUGCAUCACCCCUUUGCCCUACAGCGUCGCCCCAUUGCUCUGCUGCAACCCCCCAUUGCAUCGCCCCACUGCCCUACAGCAUCACCCUAUUGCUCUGCUGCAAUCCCCCAUUGCAUUGCCCCACUGCCCUGCAGCAUCGCCCCAUCAUUGCCCCAUCGCCCCACUGCAUCGCCCCACUGUCCUGCAGCACCGUCCCAUUGCAUCGCCCCACUGCCCUGCAGCAUCACCCCAUCACCCUGCUGCAGCCCCCACUGCAUCGCCCCACUGCCCUGCAGCAUCACCCCAUUGUCUUGCAGCUCUGCCCCAUUGCCCUGCAGCAUCACCCCACUGCCCCGCUGCAACCCCCCAUUGCACGGCCCCACUGCCCUGCUGCAGCCCCCUUUGCAUCGCCCCAUUGCAGCGCCUCAUCGCCCUGCAGCGACCCUCCUUUGCAUCACCCCACAGCCCUGCAGCACUGCUCUGUUGCGCUGCACCCCCCCCCCAUUGCAACACCCCAUUGCCAGCGCUGCCCUCCGUGUGGGGCCGGGCAGAUUUGGCAGUGAAUGGAUGGUGGCACAGGAGGGGCCGGGGGUGUUAAAAGGGUCGGGGGGGGGGGGGGGGUCACAGAGCCGUGGGUCAGGCAGUGAGUUGCACCCCGCAGGCGCUCCCCGCCUUUUUGGGGCCAAUGGGUGAAGACCUUUGGGGUACGGAGCACCCCUGGGUGCUGACUCUGGGGGGGGGCACAGAGCACAGAGCCCCCCCCAGGAGGAACUGUGUGUGCCCCCCAUCCAUCACCCCAUGGGGCUGUGGGGGGGGGGGGGCGGCGGAGCCCUUUUUUCCUGCAGGAGGGGAGCGGGGAUGGGGGCACCGCGAGGGCGGGGGGGCGAUGGGGGUGUGUGUGUGUGGGGGGGGGGGGGGGGGGUCCUGUUAAACCCGCUGGGAGCCCUAAAGCGAUACACGGCGCGGGGGGGGGAUGGGGGGUGUCAGAAGAGGAAGGCUUUCUUCUUCAGCUCAUUGCGCUUCCACAGCGCCAGCUUGCCGAACUCCUCGGGGGCAUUUCGAACACCCGCAGGAAAUCCUCCCUGGAGAGGUGCCGCUGGGGGGGGGGGGCCACAACAAUCAGAGGGUGCUGCGACCCCCCCACGUCCCACUGACCCCAAACCCCCCCACGUCCCACUGACCCCAAACCCCCCCCACAUCCCACUGACCCAACCCCCCCCCCCCAUCCCACUGACCCCCCCCACAUCCCACUGACCCCAAACCCCCCCCCAUCCCACUGACCCCAACCCCCCCCCACUGACCCCAAAUCUCCCCCCCCACGUCCCACUGACCCCAAAC
rnacentral:lncRNA from 7 species